rnacentral:rRNA from 1 species
GAUGAACGCUGGCGGCGUGCUUAACACAUGCAAGUCGAACGGAAGGACCCUGCUUUUGUGGGGUUCUCGCGUGGGGAGCGUGUGUGUAACACGUGAGUAACCUGCCCUUGACUUUGGGAUAUCUUGAGGAGACUGGGGAUACUACAGGAUAGGAGAUCCUGCUGCAUGGGGGUGGUUGGAAAGUUUCGGCGGUUGGGGAUCGACUCGCGGCUUAUCAGCUUGUUGGGUGGGUAGUUGCUUAGCAGGGCUUUCGCGGCUAGGCUGCCUGAGAGGGUGACCAGCGACAAUGGGACUGAGGUACGGAGCAGACUCCUACGGUAGGCAGCAGGGGAGAGUAUUGCACAAUGGGCGGAAGCCUGAUGCAGCAACGCCGCGUUCGGGAUGACGGCCUUCGGGUUGUAAACCGCUUUCGCCUGUGACGAAGCGUGAGUGACGUUAAUGGGUAAAGAAGCACCGGCUAACUACGUG